rnacentral:lncRNA from 1 species
GGAAUAUCUUCAUCAUGAAUGGACUCGAGCCAUCCCACGAUCUAAUUGAAAGCUAAGUUAAAAUGAUAAGAGUUUGUUCUAUUUAUUUCCAUUCCUACAACUAUGGAGUUACUUCUCAGGGCACCAAGGCGGAAAAUUCGUUCUACCCUCGACUCUAAGAAAGACUGAAACCCAAUGCGAUACCAUUAAAUUUUCCAGGUCUACCAACGUAUUAUUCGAGACAUGUUACUAAAGAGAAAUCAAAUAGGACGAGUUGUAUGGCCCCGUAUGAAGCUGAAGCUCACGGGCUAUAAUUGUAUAUCUGAUCUUUUUAAGCAGAGCGAAUCGAACCCAUUACAGAGCUAAAAAAUCAUAUUGAUAGAAUGCCUUUACCUUUUGAUUUAUUGAUUCAAUGGAAAGAAGAAUCCGUCUUCUUCUAUACUUUUGUAAUUUCCCCUUAUCCUCAUUUCAAAUUCAGUCUCUUAGUUAAAUCAAUUAACCUUUAAAGUGUAUAUUAAUUAAAGUCCUGAUACAUUUUUCUGAGUUGGCUCUACGAGCUAUCGUUAUUUCAACGAGUCAGUUGUGCAAUUUGAUCUACAAGACUAAAUCACAAUGUUCUGAAACAUUUAUGUCAAAUACAGACUUCGUCAUUGAGAAUUUAAUUGAUUUACUCGAUAGUAUUGUGGAAAAUAACGAUAGUAGCUUAAAACCGUCGUUAUAUUUUUGACUGAACAACUGGAAUUUUGUCAAUGCAAGAUGACCUAGGAAAUACUUCCAAAGCACGCUUGCAAUGGCUCUUAUUUGGAAAAGGGCAUCGACAUCUUUCUACAAACUUAUUUUGAGCGAAGGAAUACCGAAAUUACCAUCUAUUCGGUGGCUAACAAGGCUCUUAAGCUGCUCUAAAGCUGAUAUAGGACUCAAUCAUCAAACCAUAAAAUAUUUGGAACAAAGAGUAAAAAAUAUUAACGAUAGAGAAAUAAUUGUGACCAUUAUUAUGGAUGAAGUAUAUUGCUAAGCUGCAAGAAAUUCACGUUAAUUUAAUAAGAAAUUUGUAAGUAUACCUCUGGUAAAUUUUACGAUAUAGAACAUGGAGACGAUACACUAACCAAAAAUGUAUUGUGUGAUGAUCAAAAGCUUAACUAACAAAUAUGAAGACACUAUUGCAAUGGUACUUUCUACAAAAUUAGAUUAUAAAAUUCUGAGAAAAAUAUUCUACCAAGUUGUAGAAUCAAUA